UCAAAAAGCAUAAAAAGUGUGAAUAAAGGGGUGCCUUGUGCUUCCCAGAAGAGAGGAACACAAGCCAGCCUCAGAAAGUUUGGAAGGAUGAAAGGAGGAGAGAACCAGAUGUGAUGCUUUAGUGCUGCAGAGCAGGGGGAUAGAGAACAAGUGAGGACUCUCACAGGGGGCACACGAGGACUCUGUCAACCUGGAAGAGGUGAGUGUGGUCCCCAUUUGACAGCCAGAAAGGAAAUGGAGACCUCCAGUUUGGCUGAAACCUUCAACAAGCUGGAUUCCACUACAACCUGAAUGAGGCUGGAAGGGGGUUCAUGCUCAGAGUCUCUGGAACAGAAAGCUGCCUGGCUGCCUUCUGCCUUAUGAGGCUCCACAUGGGGAACCCAGUUCGGCCGUGCUGUGCCCAGACUUGUGACCCACAGGAACUGUGAAAUAAUAAAAGGUGUUUUUUUAAGCUGCUAACCUGAUGGUAAUUUGUCACACAGCAACUGGAAACUA